GCUCCCGGAUGUUAGCGGCGGACGGGUGAGCAACACGUGGGUAACCUGCCUGUAAGACUGGGAUAACUCCGGGAAACCGGAGCUAAUACCGGAUAGUUCCUUGAACCGCAUGGUUCAAGGAUGAAAGACGGUUUCGGCUGUCACUUACAGAUGGACCCGCGGCGCAUUAGCUAGUUGGUGGGGUAAUGGCUCACCAAGGCGACGAUGCGUAGCCGACCUGAGAGGGUGAUCGGCCACACUGGGACUGAGACACGGCCCAGACUCCUACGGGAGGCAGCAGUAGGGAAUCUUCCGCAAUGGACGAAAGUCUGACGGAGCAACGCCGCGUGAGUGAUGAAGGUUUUCGGAUCGUAAAGCUCUGUUGUUAGGGAAGAACAAGUGCGAGAGUAACUGCUCGCACCUUGACGGUACCUAACCAGAAAGCCACGGCUAACUACGUGCCAGCAGCCGCGGUAAUACGUAGGUGGCAAGCGUUGUCCGGAAUUAUUGGGCGUAAAGGGCUCGCAGGCGGUUUCUUAAGUCUGAUGUGAAAGCCCCCGGCUCAACCGGGGAGGGUCAUUGGAAACUGGGAAACUUGAGUGCAGAAGAGGAGAGUGGAAUUCCACGUGUAGCGGUGAAAUGCGUAGAGAUGUGGAGGAACACCAGUGGCGAAGGCGACUCUCUGGUCUGUAACUGACGCUGAGGAGCGAAAGCGUGGGGAGCGAACAGGAUUAGAUACCCUGGUAGUCCACGCCGUAAACGAUGAGUGCUAAGUGUUAGGGGGUUUCCGCCCCUUAGUGCUGCAGCUAACGCAUUAAGCACUCCGCCUGGGGAGUACGGUCGCAAGACUGAAACUCAAAGGAAUUGACGGGGGGCCCGCACA
rnacentral:rRNA from 1 species